rnacentral:rRNA from 1 species
AAUCCUUUAACGAGGAACUAUUGGAGGGCAAGUCUGGUGCCAGCAGCCGCGGUAAUUCCAGCUCCAAUAGCGUAUAUUAAAGUUGUUGCGUCUAAAAAGCUCGUAGUUUGAAAACUUGCCUUGGCUUACAACAGACGUCUAAGGGCGUCACCGUUUGUCGAGAGCAAAUAUGGGUGACUGUUCUUGCCUUCUUCACUGAUUGGCUCGUAAAAGUCAUCGAAGAUCACUUUGAUUAAAUUAGGGUGCUCAAAGCAAGUGUGCUACUUGAAUAUGAAUGCAUGGAAUGAUGGAAUAUGUUGUUGUUCUAUUUGUUGGUUUUUUGAAUGACGAAAUGAUUGAAAGGAACUGUUGGGGGCAUUCGUAUUGUUGUGAGAGAGGUGAAAUUCUAGACCAUAGCAAGACGAACUACUGCGAAAGCAUUUGCCAAGAAUGUUUUCAUUGAUCAAGAACGAAAGUUAGAGGUUCGAAGGCGAUCAGAUACCGCCCUAGUUCUAACCAUAAACUAUGCCGACUAGCAAUUUGCUUUGUAUUUUUAUGACUAAGUGAGAGGCCACGGGAAACCAAAGUAGGGUUAUGGGGGAAGUAUGGUUGCAAAGCUGAAACUUAAAGGAAUUGACGGAAGGGCACCACCAGGAGUGGAGCCUGCGGCUUAAUUUGACCCAACACGGGAAAACUUACCUGGUCCUGACACUAGAAGGAUUGACAGAUUGAUAGCUCUUUCUUGAUUUGGUGGAUGGUGGUGCAUGGCCGUUCUUAGUUGGUGGAGUGAUUUGUCUGGUUAAUUCCGAUAACGAACGAGACUCUAGCCUAUUAAAUAAUAUGCGGAAUCAAUUUCUCCCGCGUUAUUUCUUAAUGGGAUCAAGCGUGUUUAACGCUUUGAAACAGAGCAAUAACAGGUCUGUGAUGCCCUUAGAUGUUCGGGGCUGCACGCGCGCUACAUUGAAGAACAAAGUGAGCCCUCUGGCUUUUAACAAAGCUAGAAAUCUUUUAAUGUUCUUCUUAAUGGGGAUAGGGGAUUGCAAUUGUGCCCCUUGAACAAGGAAUUCCCAGUAAGUGCUAGUCAUUAGCUAGUACUGAUUACGUCCCUGCCCUUUGUACACACCGCCCGUCGCUACUACCGAUUGAAUAGUUUAGUGAGAUCAUCUGAGUGUUUGUAUGUGCAUUCUGUGCUUGUAUGGUGUACGAAGAAGAUCAAACUUGAUUAUUUAGAGGAAGUAAAAGUC